AUACGUAGGGGGCUAGCGUUAUCCGGAUUUACUGGGCGUAAAGGGUGCGUAGGUGGUUUCUUAAGUCAGGAGUGAAAGGCUACGGCUUAACCGUAGUAAGCUCUUGAAACUGGGAAACUUGAGUGCAGGAGAGGAAAGUGGAAUUCCUAGUGUAGCGGUGAAAUGCGUAGAGAUCGGGAGGAACACCAGUGGCGAAGGCGGCCUACUGGGCUUUAACUGACGCUGAGGCACGAAAGCGUGGGGAGC
rnacentral:rRNA from 1 species